AUUGAACGCUGGCGGCAGGCCUAACACAUGCAAGUCUAACGAGUGGCGGACGGGUGAGUAAUGACUGGGAAACUGCCCGAUGGAGGGGGAUAACUACUGGAAAAGGUAGCUAAUACCGCAUACCAUCGGAUGUGCCCAGAUGUGAUUAGCUAGUAGGUGGGGUACCGGCUCACCUAGGCGACGAGCCCUAGCUGGUCUGAGAGGAUGACCAGCCACACUGGAACUGAGACACGGUCCAGACUCCUACGGGAGGCAGCAGUGGGGAAUAUUGCACAAUGGGCGCAAGCCUGAUGCAGCCAUGCCGCGUGUAUGAAGAAGGCCUUCGGGUUGUAAAGUACUUUAAGCGAGGAGGCGUUACUCGAAGAAGAAGCACCGGCUAACUCCGUGCCAGCAGCAGCGGUAAUUC
rnacentral:rRNA from 1 species